rnacentral:tRNA from 1 species
GGGGAUAUAGCUCAGAUGGUAGAGUGCAUGUCUCACUUGCAUAAGGCCCUGGGUUCAACCCCCAGCCCUA